ACUAUAUGUUCAACGGCCGCGGUAUUCUGACCGUGCGAAGGUAGCGCAAUCACUUGUCUCUUAAAUGGAGACCUGUAUGAAAGGCAUCACGAGGGCUUAGCUGUCUCCCCUUCAAGGUCAAUGAAAUUGAUCUCCCCGUGCAGAAGCGGGGAUACGCCCGUAAGACGAGAAGACCCUAUGGAGCUUGAGACAUAAGACGACCCACGUCACUAACCCCUCUAAAAGGAAAUGAACAAAAUGGACUUCGCCGAAAUGUCUUCGGUUGGGGCGACCGCGGGGAAAGACCAAACCCCCACGUGGACCAAGGCCACAAUAGCCUUAAAACCCAGACCCCCUGGUCGAAUCAACAGUAUUUCUGACCACCAAAGAGCCGGCAAUGCCGAUCAACGGACCGAGUUACCCUAGGGAUAACAGCGCAAUCCCCUCCCAGAGCCCUUAUCGACGAGGGGGUUUACGACCUCGAUGUUGGAUCAGGACAUCCUAAUGGUGCAGCCGCUAUUAAGGGUUCGUUUGUUCAACGAUUAAAGUCCUACGUGAUC
rnacentral:rRNA from 1 species